CUCUUGCUGGAGAUUCCUGCCUGCUCUGAGGCCUUCUGAAGAUUGUAAUCUUCUCAUCUCAGAUGUCAAACUAACCCAGAUAACAGCUUGAGUCUCAAGACAUUCUCCGGAGAGAUAAGAGCGCAGCCUGGUCCUGACACUUCUUUUCAACUGUCUCUGGAGCCAGUCCUGCCUUGUACUGCUGUAUGUCCUUAGAAAAUCAGCUGCCAGAGGUCACAUUUCCCACUGGAUGACUGAGAGGAAUGCAGGCUGGAAGAGUCUUUCCCUCCAUUGAAUCAUCAUACAGAUGAACUUGUAACUCAAUUUAGUUUUCUCCACAGUCUUCAGAUUUGCACGAUCCCUGAAUAUCUGUAUUGGAAAGCUGAAUUCCCUGCAGCAAACUCAAUCUUGCUGUGCCAAGCUAUGGUGUCUGCGAAUUGCCACAUAUUCAAAUGUGCCUAUGGAUCCCCAGUAGAAAGGUGCUGUAGAGAAAUGCACAGCAAUCUGAAUGAGCAGGGGAGUGUAGCCAUGUCAGCAGUCUAUGGGUUGGUUUGGGGAACCUGAGUAUAUGAGGUCUGCAGGCAAACUGCUGUUCUUAUCAGGUUGGAGGGAAGAAUGAGGAAUGCUCUAGGAAAUCUGCCCAAUCUCUCAACCAGCUAUAACACCCUCCCAGAAAAACAAGCCUAAUGAUGCAGCAAGACAGAGUUUCUUCUCAUCCCCUCCUUCCUAUUCUCUUCUAAGGAUCAUUGGGUUUAAUAAGCCAUUGCAAGCUGCUGGAGUCACGUUUUGCUGUCUGUACAGCUUGGAGAUGAACAACUCUCUUUGAUUAAGCAUCAAAAUAUUAUGAAAAAUUCCUAUAUGGAACCAAAAGAAUGCAUCUGUGGCAAGAAAGCUGGAGGGCAUCCUGCCACCUCUGCAAAGUGCUCCUGACCCUGGCACAUGGACAGCACAAACUACACUGGCUGUGCACAGGGCAGUGUGGAGGCAAUGUAUGAUAAGGCUCCUUGUGAAGGUGAACAGUCUAUUCUGAAUGAAACUCAAGUUUGUGCAAGAGAUGCAUCUCAUGCCGACCCUGAGCUUUGGAGCUCAUCUUCCCUCAGGGUCAGCAGUGAGUUGGUAUGCCAUGGCAAGCAAGGCUCUUGGCACAACUGCAGUGUGUAAGCUGAAGAUGCACACUUAUUCUCAGGUUGGCACAAGUUGCUCUCCUUGCAAGUUUUCCCAGCUUGCCUGCCAGCUCUGGGUGGGACAGCCACAUCUUCCUGCCUCCCUCUGCUCCCUGGCCCCUCUCUGGCUUGUUGUGUCAUUGCUCCAGCCUUAAGUGAGUUCUAGGCAAUUUCUAGGAUGAGAAAGCAAGCUUUUCUCAUUGCCUCAGGUGAGAUUAAACAUCACAUUUUGCUAUGAUACUAGGGACAAAUUGGCUUGUUGAGAGUGCCAUGGAAUUAGUUUUACCAUAAGUAUCAAAUCCCACCUGGCAAUUUCUUUCUGCUUCUCACCAUUCCUCUGGUCGUAUCUCCUGAGUAUGGACUGGUUGCUUCUUGCCGCUACAUCCCUGGCCCAGACACAGCAAUCUCUUUGUGUUGACUGAAGGUGUUGAAGUUGGUGUAUCAUCCUCCUUCCUGAGCUGUGAUGCACCUAAAUAUCAGCUGUUUGUUGUGUGCUGAAUUGUAUGCAUACAAAACAUGCGACCCUUGGGCAAGGUCAGUGUGCUGGUCUAGGGUCAGAGCCCUUUGGUUCCUCCUUGGUUGGGGGAAAGAAGCCCCAAGAGCUGAGCUGGGCUCUGAGUUCAGCAGCAAGCCAUAGGCAGUGCCAUAGCAGGUCAGGCCCAUGGCUGGCACCUGGAUCUAGGUUGCAGCUAGUGUUCAAGAAAACUUUAUAGCAGGCUUAUGGCUUUCUUUGAGUGCGUUUCCAAACACAGUCCUGCCAGCCAGAAAUUCCUGGUUGCACCAUCUGGAUUCUGUCAAAGGAAAGAAACAAAGGUUGCCCUUUGAGAUGUGGCAAGAGGAAGGAAAGAAGCUCUGGCAAGGAUCCACCUUUCUGAGGUUGUCAGUGAAGGAGUUCCCAAACAUUUCUGCCGUUCCACUGAGCUUCUCCAAGUGCCUGGGCAGUGCUUCCUGGUUACUCUGCUCUCAAAACAAGGCAGGAAAGGGGCUGUCAGAGGUGUUACACCUGCUCUGUGUGCUAACAUGGUUUUGCCUCAGGCUGGAAAGGAAAAUAUUAUCUGCUUCAGACCUUCAGAGCAACAGGACCAGAAUCAGCUGCAGCAGAUAGGGCUUUCCCAGGAUGUAUGUCUCUGAUGGCCUCCAAAGAGAUUGGGCUGAACUCCAUCCUCUUUUGUCUGGGUCCUGGAGGUGUUCUCAGCCCUGCUCCCUCCACCUCUGCACCUGAUGUCCUUGCCAAGCACAUUAGGAAGAAGCUCCAGCCUGGAGCACAGCAGCAUACACCCCAAAGGUCAUGAAUUAUUAAGGAAGGAGAUUACCUUAACUGGAAUGUAUGUGGCUGUUCCAUCAGUGAAGUUGGGGAUCACUCUGAGGAAUGGACAGGUUUCCCGUGGAGGUUCAGAAACCUGAAACUGUAAAGCUCUUCUUGCUUUCCCCACCUCUUACGGGAAGCCUGCAACAGCUUGCAGAAACUUCUGCUCCUCAUCAUUCCAUUCUGCUCUGGACUGGAUACAAAAUCUUCAGGUUCUGGACGGGCUUUGUACUGCAGUGGAAAUAAGUUACAAGGACCAAUGUUGGCAGCACUGAGCCUCUUGCGUGCUCCUCUUCAAGUACUCGUAUGUCUCCAUUCCAAGCUCUCCGGAUCACCUUCUGAAUUCAUAACUGAGAUGAGCAUUCGACCCUGCAUUAAGUCGAAGGUGUCCCUUGGGUCUCAUAGGUGGUGAUAGGAACAUCUCAAUUCCUGAGUUUAUAUUCUAAUAAAUCUUGAAG